rnacentral:tRNA from 1 species
UCCCUGGAGGACUAGUGGUUAGGCCACAGCGCUCUCACCGCUGCAGCCCGGGUUCAAUUCCUGGCCAGGGAA